CAGUAGCCACGGUAAUACGGAGGAUCCGAGCGUUAUCCGGAUUUAUUGGGUUUAAAGGGUGCGUAGGCGGCCUAUUAAGUCAGGGGUGAAAGACGGUAGCUUAACUAUCGCAGUGCCUUUGAUACUGAUGGGCUUGAAUGUACUUGAAGUGGGCGGAAUGUGACAAGUAGCGGUGAAAUGCAUAGAUAUGUCACAGAACACCAAUUGCGAAGGCAGCUUACUAAGCUAUGAUUGACGCUGAGGCACGAAAGCGUGGGGAUCAAACAGGAUUAGAUACCCGCGUAGUCCCUGUCUCUUAUAC
rnacentral:rRNA from 1 species